UUUUAUUCUGACUCUGAAUGUUUGUUGCUUUAAUCCAGAUGAGUAUUGAAAACUUUUUUCUGCACCAAAAAAGGCCUCGUCCAGACGACGCGGAGCAGCUUGAGGAGGCAUCAAACAGUGCUGAACAACCCAGUGCUUCUCAGGGGCCGGGCUGUUCAGGAGAGAUACUGAUUAAUAUAGGCCAGGAGGACAGCAGACAAAAUGUUGCUGAAACAACAGGUCAUCCAACCCUACAUUACUGGCCUGGAGACAGAACUGAAAAGGAGGUUCCAGGAGCUGGACAUCCUAGGAGCCUUAUUUAAGUCCUUAGACCUCAGUCGGCUGCCCGCCCUGACAAUAUGUGCAUUGCAUUCAUUAUUUUAGUUAGUUGCCUUGUUGUACCUAGUAGUAUAUUGUUACU